UCUCUCUCUCUCUCUCUAGAACCUCUCUCUAGCCCCGAAAUCCCCCGAAAAGCCUAGGGAACCUCCCUAGCACGAGGCGGAAGCCCCGGAGUGCUCGAAGGCUCUGAGAAGAAGAGCUUUUCGGCUCGGGAACGCUGCUCCAAGCAAAGCCCGGUUUUCUAUAAAACCCGCUGUUUCGUCGAAGAAAAUUCUUUUUAAGAAGCGAAGCGCUGUCUGAGUUCGGAAUCACCACCUUUUCAGGUAGUGGCGCUUGAGCAUAUAUAUGAUGUUUGGACGAGGGAUUACGGAUAUAGGCCUGUAGAUAUGAAAUAAUGUAGUAAGGCUUGUAUUGUACUGUUUAUGCUUUUGAUCUGUACGAACAUGACAUCCCGAGUCUUUUAAUGAAAUACAUUUCUAUGGAAAUGCUUUUGAUAAA